CCUACGGGAGGCAGCAGUAGGGAAUAUUGCUCAAUGGGCGAAACCCUGAAGCAGCAACGCCGCGUGGAGGAUGAAGGUUUUCGGAUUGUAAACCCCUUUUGUUAGAGAAGAUAAUGACGGUAUCUAAUCAGUAAGCACUGGCUAAUUCCGUGCCAGCAGCCGCGGUAAUACGCCGGGUGCGAGGGUGAGUCGGAAUGACUGGGGGUAACGGGCGUGUAGGCGGGUUAGCAAGUCAGAUGUGAAAUCCUAGGGCCUAACCAUAGAACUGCAUUUGAAACUGGUAGUCUAGAGUAUGGGAGAGGUAGGUGGAAUUCGUGGUGUAGGGGUGAAAUCCGUAGAGAUCAAGAGGAAUACUCAUUGCGAAGGCGACCUGCUAGAACAUAACUGACGCUGAUGCGCGAAAGCGUGGGUAGCAAACAGGAUUAGAUACCCGGGUAGUC
rnacentral:rRNA from 1 species